AUUGAACGCUGGCGGCAGGCCUAACACAUGCAAGUCGAACGGUAACAGGAAGAAGCUUGCUUCUUUGCUGACGAGUGGCGGACGGGUGAGUAAUGUCUGGGAAACUGCCUGAUGGAGGGGGAUAACUACUGGAAACGGUAGCUAAUACCGCAUAACGUCGCAAGACCAAAGAGGGGGACCUUCGGGCCUCUUGCCAUCGGAUGUGCCCAGAUGGGAUUAGCUAGUAGGUGGGGUAACGGCUCACCUAGGCGACGAUCCCUAGCUGGUCUGAGAGGAUGACCAGCCACACUGGAACUGAGGCACGGUCCAAACUCCUACGGGAGGCAGCAGUGGGGAAUAUUGCACAAUGGGCGCAAGCCUGAUGCAGCCAUGCCGCGUGUAUGAAGAAGGCCUUCGGGUUUUAAAGUACUUUCAGCGGGGAGGAAGGGAGUAAAGUUAAUACCUUUGCUCAUUGACGUUACCCGCAGAAGAAGCACCGGCUAACUCCGUG
rnacentral:rRNA from 1 species